rnacentral:rRNA from 1 species
CGGCGUACGGGUGCGUAACACGUGUGCAACCCGCCUUUAUCUGGGGGAUAGCCUUUCGAAAGGAAGAUUAAUACUCCAUAAUAUAUUGAACGGCAUCGUUUAAUAUUGAAAGCUCCGGCGGAUAGAGAUGGGCACGCGCAAGAUUAGCUAGUUGGUGAGGUAACGGCUCACCAAGGCGAUGAUCUUUAGGGGGCCUGAGAGGGUGAUCCCCCACACUGGUACUGAGACACGGACCAG